rnacentral:rRNA from 1 species
GCGUGAAUCUUCCGCAAUGGACGAAAGUCUGACGGAGCAACGCCGCGUGAGCGAUGAAGGCCUUCGGGUCGUAAAGCUCUGUUGUUAGGGAAGAAUAAGUGCUAGUUAAAUAAGCUGGCACCUUGACGGUACCUAACCAGAAAGCCACGGCUAACUACGUGCCAGCAGCCGCGGUAAUUAAAAAAA